AACCAGCUGAGGCAAUUCCCUGCUUUUGCGUGGAACGCAUCUGCUCCAGAGACGAGUACCUGGCCAAAAAGGCAAGGAAAGGCUCCUCUCCUUGCGGAUGAUCAGAAAGACCAGCAUCACAGACAUAUCUUGUGCCACCACAGAAGUCACCAGAGAUGCUUUUGGUAAAGUCUGAUAUCCACCAACUCACAGCUCUGCUGGAAUGCAGGCAGACAGCCUGAGCUCCUGAGAAGAGAAUUAGUGAGGAUGAUGAUGGCUGUUGGCCCACUGAGAACUGUACCUGCCCAGUGCCUGAUCUCACCUCCUGAGAGAAUAAAGAACUGUCAGCAACA